rnacentral:rRNA from 1 species
CUGGCUCAGGACGAACGCUGGCGGCGUGCUUAACACAUGCAAGUCGAACGAUGAACCACUUCGGUGGGGAUUAGUGGCGAACGGGUGAGUAACACGUGGGCAAUCUGCCCUGCACUCUGGGACAAGCCCUGGAAACGGGGUCUAAUACCGGAUACUGAGCCACUUGGGCAUCCAAGUGGUUCGAAAGCUCCGGCGGUGCAGGAUGAGCCCGCGGCCUAUCAGCUUGUUGGUGAGGUAAUGGCUCACCAAGGCGACGACGGGUAGCCGGCCUGAGAGGGCGACCGGCCACACUGGGACUGAGACACGGCCCAGACUCCUACGGGAGGCAGCAGUGGGGAAUAUUGCACAAUGGGCGAAAGCCUGAUGCAGCGACGCCGCGUGAGGGAUGACGGCCUUCGGGUUGUAAACCUCUUUCAGCAGGGAAGAAGCGAAAGUGACGGUACCUGCAGAAGAAGCGCCGGCUAACUACGUGCCAGCAGCCGCGGUAAUACGUAGGGCGCAAGCGUUGUCCGGAAUUAUUGGGCGUAAAGAGCUCGUAGGCGGCUUGUCACGUCGGUUGUGAAAGCCCGGGGCUUAACCCCGGGUCUGCAGUCGAUACGGGCAGGCUAGAGUUCGGUAGGGGAGAUCGGAAUUCCUGGUGUAGCGGUGAAAUGCGCAGAUAUCAGGAGGAACACCGGUGGCGAAGGCGGAUCUCUGGGCCGAUACUGACGCUGAGGAGCGAAAGCGUGGGGAGCGAACAGGAUUAGAUACCCUGGUAGUCCACGCCGUAAACGGUGGGCACUAGGUGUGGGCAACAUUCCACGUUGUCCGUGCCGCAGCUAACGCAUUA